rnacentral:rRNA from 1 species
AGAGUUUGAUCCUGGCUCAGAUUGAACGCUGGCGGCGUGCCUAAUACAUGCAAGUCGAGCGGUCCCUUCGGGGAUAGCGGCGGACGGGUGAGUAACACGUAGGCAACCUGCCUGUAAGACUGGGAUAACUAUCGGAAACGAUAGCUAAGACCGGAUAGCUGGUUUUCUCGCAUGAGAGAAUUAUGAAACACGGGGCAACC